AUAAGGAAAUCCUGGUUGAAGACAAGGAGCAAGGAGCACUUGAACCUUACAGUCGUGGCAUACAAAGAAAAAAACCAAACCAGUGGGGGGCAGGUUUGCAGAUCAUGGAGGCAUCAUUGUCCCCCUCCACAACCAAGCUCACGUGUGAGGCCCAAAGGAAACCUGGCAGGGUCGCGCACAGCCACAGCGACAAGAGAGAGCGCAUUGUGCCUCUCUGGCUGGACUGGAUCUACCUGAAACAGAGACGUGGAAGAACACAUGAAACUUUGACUAAAAAGCUGUUUGUUUACUGACUCACA